GAUGAGAAUGCCAUACUCAGAGAUCUCAGUGGGGUGCAAAGAGGCCAGAAAUCAGCUAAAUCCCUUCAGAAUAGAAAUGUUGGAUGUGUAACCUCAAGCGUCUGUUUGAGCCUUAAAUCUAAACACUCAUAACCAUGGGUCUCCAUAUCAUGUUAGGUUUGAAGAAUAGGGCAGAUUUUGAAACCAUCUCCUUCCCACUUGAGCAGUCUUGAGGCUCCAGCUAUUGCCAAGAACACAAGACCCAUCCUCCAUCCAGAGUGCAAAGCCAGGAAUCUGAAAUGAACGUUCCAAAAUGCCCAGCACCAAAGAGCAAAAGAAGCUUCCAGUCUGCACCCCAUUCAGAGAGAAACUGCACUGAAAUACUUCAUCCUCCAGAUCAACUGAGAGGUGACCGCGUGUGGUGGCCAAGCAGUCAUCCAUAGACCCCUCCGCUUCCCCAGCCCCUGAUGGGGAGAGCCGCACAAUGAUGGGUGGCCCAGCAGGCCACUGGGGGGUUCCUUGAGGAAGGGGACCAGCCUAGCCCCAGGAGUGAAGGAGGACCAGUCUUGCCAGUCCUUUGAAACUGCCCUGCCAGGUGGGAAUAAAUAUGGUUG
rnacentral:lncRNA from 1 species